UCACAGAGCCAAGUUGAUCCAAGCAUACUUAGAAGUUUUCCAUACUGAAUCAAGUAUCAUUUUGCUAAACUUAAAUCAAUUAAAUUCAAUAUCAAAAAAUCAGUCUCUUAGUCACACUAGCCACAUUUCAUUUGCUCAAUGGUUUCAUGUUGAUAGUGGUUCCUACACUGAACAAAAUGGAAAAUUUGCCUUUUGCGAAGGCAUGGGAUGUAACUGUAUACCAUCAGGAAUCAAGUCACCAUUGAAUAAAUACUGUGUGCCACAUGAAGGGACAGGAACAGUUCACUACAAGGGCUUCACAGGUCGAAGUACUCAGAAUGAAAAUUGGCUGUGUUCAUAACUUUGGACCAGAGCCACCCAGGAAGAAGCCGUACAUACUGGAGAUGCAGUUACUGAAGCAUUUGGCGAUCUUAUGAGAAUUCCACAACAAAUCCAAGAGGGCUGAGAAGAGGCUAUCUGACCCCAUAACCUCACUUGUACAUGUCCAUUGAUGCUGGAAGCUCAACAAGACACUAGAACGUGAAAGCAAUAGGAAACUCUGGACUACCUUUAAAUGACAGGCGGCAGCACCACUGAGCUAAAUCCCUGGCCCAAGUUCUAUUUAUUCUACAACUUUAGAGACAAGCUAAGUCAAGGACUACCUAUGCACUUUUUGCUUUCUGUCAAGACUUGAAGCCACAAGAGACAUCCACCAGUGGGUGUCUUGUCACCCAGUCUUGAACUUCCCAGCCUCCAGAACUGUAAGCUGCAUUGCUCCACAACAUGCUCCCUGCCAUGACAUCCGCCUUCCCAUGGGCCAGAAGUGAUGGAACCAGGUGACCAUGCACAGAUAUCUCUGAAACUGACCAUCAAAAAGAAGUGAAGUUCACAUUAAUAAGAGGCCAGAUGUCACCAGACAGAUGUCAACAUCAGCGAAUACUUGUGAAUAUCAACAUGACAUUCCAUAUAGAGAGGGCAAACUGUCUCUAUCAUGAUCACCAUCAAACAAUGCAGAGAGCCUCAUGGAUGACACCGCAAAUGUGCUAUACUGAAGAAUUAUUAACCCAAGGAUUGAUAAACUUGAUGCUCAGAAUGUCAUACCUCUUGAGUUAACCAAGAUUAACUGGAAAGCUCAAAUGUGUAUUAGCAUACAACAAGCAAAAUUUGAAUAUUUGUCAAGGAAACAACUCUAUUCAAUUUCCAUGCUUUGGAAACCAAAUGUGUUAUUAGUAAGGAUUUAUACAAGGUGCAAAACGUGGUAAAAACAUUGAACUAGUAACCAUGUCUAUUAAAAUUAAAUACCACAUGCUUUCUCUCUCACCUUGAACUGUUACAUUAAUAUUUGCUUUCCUCUGUGAAAUUCUUACUGAAAGUAAUAUAAAUGAAAAUAAAAAUGUCUUGAAUUAUAGGAGAAUCUUAAAAUGUCCAUGAACCCUUGGGGAAAGCUUGGAAAUACAGUAUUUGAAACAUGCAAGCAUUUUAGAAACUAAGUCCAUUAAUGUUCAUUUUAAACCUUUCCCAACACAAAUCAACUUAUGGUUACUGAUUUAUUUUUUUCAAUGUAAAUGAGAAAAGAACUUCAGUUGCAGCCACACAGACCAAAUUUUGAGAUUUUCAUAAAUGUUGACAAGUUCUUCAAUAAAGCCUAAGUUUUCUUUGGACUUCUGGCAGGACUGAUAAUGUAGAUAACUUUGUGUCAAUGCACAAUGUUUCUGGUUAACUUUAUAGCCAAAGCUAAGAUUAUCCCUUUCUUAGUGAUUAUUAAGACUUCCUGCAAUACAAUCUGCUUUACCACCUGUUGUUGAAAAUACUUUCUUUCACAGUUGCUAGAAGACGAUUCUGUUUACAUUUUGAUUUCACAUAACUUCUGUAAUCUUUUAUUAGAAGGAAAUCAAUUCUGCAGCUGGAUUAUAGAAACCAUUUGAUACAAUUCUAAAUAACUUUAUCAGUAAUGUUUGAAGGGAAGGCUAUGUAACUCAAGAGAAGGAAAUAGAAAAUGAAGUUUCUAGUCUGCCAAUGAUGAAAAGCCAUAUUUAUCCCAGAUCUUCCAAGAUCUUGGCUGUAGUUAUAGAAGGGAGCCAGGUGUUUUUGGUCACAAUAGUGUAAUUUCUCUUCUGUUCUAGCAACGUAAGUCAUAAGGCUAGGGAGCAAAUAGUCUGCUAAUCUGUAGGACUAACAAUCUGAAUGACAAAACUCUUUAUGGAAACUGACUCAACGUCUGUGGUCAGGGAAAUGGGUCGUUUCCUGGAUUUAAACACACACUUGCUGUGGCAGCAUCUUUUAUAAAAACAACACUCAAAAGAAGUAUGUAGUAACCUUGUUGUUAUACUUGCUGCUUUUGUUUUUGUUUUUUAGUGCUGAGGAUCAAGCCUAGGACUUCAUAUGUGCUAAGUAAAUGCUCUAAUUCUUUAGUUAUGGAAAAAUAUUUAUGUUGGUUGAAAAAAUGGAAAGAGAUACAGAGUAGAUCCCAUCUUAGAAUCUAUACCAAUUAAAAGAAACAGAGAAAUUAAAAUCAUGCCUACAGCUGAGGGUGCAGCUCAGUAGUAGAACCAGUACUUAGCAGGCAUGAAUCCUUGGGUUCAUCCCCAGCACGUACAACCCAAAGAAAGCCAUGGGUAUGCCCACAUUAUUACAAACACUCAUUUAACUCUGUGAAUUCAGCCAGCAAAAUAAAUUCCAUGACAAUCAAUAAAAGCCUCUUUAUUUUUUUUCAGUCACGUAAGAUAAACAUGUGAUUAAUUGAAGAUUAAUCAAUCAAAUCAAAUAAUAUUUGUGUUGCAAAAGGGAAGAGGACCAAGAGAUGAGGGAAAGGGU